UAAUAAGUGUUUUAUGGCACUUUUUAAAUCCAUAUCCACCUUGUGUGCAAUGUCGGUCGAUCUUCUUCAUGGAGAUCGACCAAACAUCAACCUUUAUCUUCUAACUCUUUGUCUGAAAAAUAUUAUGAAUAAACAAUUCAAAAUA
rnacentral:misc_RNA from 1 species